GUUAAUUCCCAACUGUUUUGGAGGGAAACUUAGAAUAUUCAUAUUUGGGUGGGCUUUUUCAAGUAUUAUGAUUGGUUAAGGCCCUGUGGGCCCAGAGUAUAAAUUACAGGCAUUUGCCUGCUGUUCCUCAGUUCCAGUUUAAGUCAAUAAAUGCUGUUGUAGCUAUGCUGGUCUGCUCCUUGCCUACUGAAGCCCACUAUGCAAUAACAACUGGCUCUAUAG